UGGCUAAACUAGUGACGAGUUUCAACGAAGAAAAAAAUGAUGAAAAUUUAAAAUAAAUGUAUGCUGAGAAUGAGAAAAUGAUUCCAAGAAAUUAAUGUCAUAAUGAGGAAAAAAGUUAAGGAUGGAUUGUACGAAAAGUGUUAGUGCAAGUUUCGGUUAAAAAUCGAUAACGUUAUCAUGGAAUGAUAAUAAAUUUGAUAAAUAAAUAAAUGAGAAAAAUAUAAAAUAAAUACGAUUUGAAAUAAGAAAAUGGUCCCGAGGAGUUAGCGAGACGACAGGGAAGAAAUUCAAUAGAAAGACUGCAUGAAAAAGUACCGAUAACCAGGUAAAAUAUAUGAAAACUAUCUAGAAGCUUCUUGAGGGGUAAAAUCAUCAAAAAGCCAUAAAAAUCUCCUUUUAAAAACCAGCAGCCGCUGGUGUUACAGCCAUGGGAAAAAUGGCUUCAAGAACUUCAUUUUCUUAGCACAAAUGGAGAGAUUCUUCCAUAAAAAGGGGUUUGUGAGUGAUUAAAUCAAGUAAUUGGAAAGAAAGCAUCAUCUGGAGGGUUUGGAGAGCAGAAAUAAAGGAAGAAAAGUAAGGGUUAAUGAGAGAGAAAGAGAGAGCUUGAGUUCUAGAGAGUGGAAUGAAGAAAUUAUGAAGAAAGGCUUGAAUUGCCUGGAAAAAAUUCAUUGGUUUCGUGUGAACAAGAGGUUCAUCUCAGACAUGCCAGGAGCAAUAACUCGUUAUUAUGAUUCCUUCAGUAGUUUUAGGUAGUGAUUAUGAACAUUGUGAUAUCUUAUGUUUUUUGGAUUGUAAAUAAUAGAAUAUAUAUUUUUUGUGGCAUGUAAUCCAAAUGUUUCUUUUAGUAUAUGUAAAAGUUAAUUUAAGUUUUAUUAAUUGUUGAUGAUUAUAAUUUUUAAGGUGUGGAAGUCCUUAUUUCAUUUGCAAGUAUCUUUAGUGUUAAAAGAACAUUUAUGCUUGAAGGAUGAUAAGAAUUAUGGUUGAGAUGAAGUUUUGAUGAUGAGAUAUGAUUCAGAAUGGUUACAUCAAGAAUUAAGGAUUGUUGUGUGUGUGUGAUUGCAUGUGUCGACAUUUGAAAAUAUCCUAUUAUAGGGUAGACUACCAAAAUUUUGAUAAAGAUUUAAAUAACUUGAAGGGAGUACAACCAUGUUAUUAUAGAUUAUGAAAUUUGAAUUGAAGUAGAAAAGGAAAAUCCCUGUUUUUCAUUGAAACUUUUCAUUGAGUUUUAGACUCAAAGGAUUGUAAAAUCUAGGGCUGGUACAAUUUUCACUUUUGAUUUACUACUCUCUGUUAGAAAACACUGAAAUUCUUAAUUUUGUGCCUGUAUUAUACAGAAAAAGUCUCCAUAAUUUACAUCAGUGUUCAAGAAGAUAUAAGAGUAUCAUUCUCAUAAA